rnacentral:rRNA from 1 species
GACGAACGCUGGCGGCGUGCCUAAUACAUGCAAGUCGAACGCAGUGGGUACGGGUGAGUAACACGUGGGUAACCUCCCAUCAGACGGGAUAACACUUGGAAACACGUGCUAUACCGAUACUGAUGGAUGGACCCGCGGUGCAUUAUCUAGUUGGUGGGGUGACGGGUCACCAAGGCCACGAUGCAUAGCCGGCUGGAGAGGGUGAUCGGCCACCGGGGGAAUGAGAAACGGGCUACACUCCAACGUGAGGCGGCAGGAGGGAAUCUGCGGCAAUGGACGAAAGUCUGACCGCGCAACGACGGGUGAGGGAUGAGGGUUUACGGAUCGUAAGACUCUGUUGUUAGUGGAGCGGUAUGUAACCAGAAAGCCACGGCUAACUACGUGCCAGCAGCCGCGGUAAUAC